rnacentral:rRNA from 1 species
UAACACAUGCAAGUCGAACGAUGAAGCCUGUAACUUGUUGUGGGUGGAUUAGUGGCGAACGGGUGAGUAAUACGUGAGUAACCUGCCCUCCUUUUUGGGAUAAGCCUUGGAAGCGGGGUCUAAUACCGGAUAUUCUGGCAUGCUCGCAUGGGUGUGUUGGGAAAGCUUUAUGUGAAGGGGGAUGGGCUCGCGGCCUAUCAGCUUGUUGGUGGGGUGAUGGCCUACCAAGGCGGUGACGGGUAGCCGGCCUGAGAGGGUGACCGGCCACAUUGGGACUGAGAUACGGCCCAGACUCCUACGGGAGGCAGCAGUGGGGGAUAUUGCACAAUGGGCGAAAGCCUGAUGCAGCGACGCCGCGUGGGGGAUGAAGGCUUUCGGGUUGUAAACCUCUUUCGCUAUCGAACAAGGCUCAUUUUUUGGUGGGUUGAGGGUAGGUGGAGAAGAAGCGCCGGCUAACUACGUGCCAGCAGCCGCGGUAAUACGUAGGGCGCGAGCGUUGUCCGGAAUUAUUGGGCGUAAAGGGCUUGUAGGCGGCUUGUUGCGCCUGCUGUGAAAACGCGGGGCUUAACUUCGCGCGCGCAGUGGGUACGGGCAGGCUUGAGUGUGGUAGGGGUGACUGGAAUUCCAGGUGUAGCGGUGGAAUGCGCAGAUAUCUGGAGGAACACCGAUGGCGAAGGCAGG